GCAUUUAGGCUGGCAUAGGUACAGUAACAGGAAGUUCCUGUCUUCAGUUGAGGACACUGGAGAAAAGCAAUGUGUGCCAGUCAAUAUGAGCACAUGAAACCUUGUAUAAUAUACACACAUAUUAAAGUAGCCUAUGAGUUAAAGCACAGGUGGCAAACACAAGGCCAGGGGGGCCAAAUCUGGCCCUCCAUAUUGUUUAUCCUGCCGGGCCCCUUGUUUCUACCCUGCGGCAGCUCGAGCUCUCACUUAACAGGAAGACCAUGCAGUGAGUAGGAUGGAUGGAAGGAGGAUACAUCAAGCAGACAGACCAGUUUGAACACUUUUGAAAUAAUCUAAGUAAAAGGUUUUAAGCAUCUGAGUCAGUUCAACACAGACCAAACAAGAAAGGACUUUGGGUUCAAACUGGAUGGAGGUCCUGGCGUAAUCCAUGGCCUUAACUGGGUUGCCAGUUGGUCGUGGCCAGUGGAAGGAGCCAGACGGUGAGAGACAAAUACCACAAGAUCUCACCUAAAAGUGGAAUCUAAUCAGUAAAACAAACAAGCAAGCAAAAUAUAACCAGAGACAUUGAAAUGAAGAACAA